rnacentral:rRNA from 1 species
GAUUAAGUUAUUAAGGGCGCACGGUGGAUGCCUUGGCACUAGAAGCCGAUGAAGGACGUUACUAACGACGAUAUGCUUUGGGGAGCUGUAAGUAAGCUUUGAUCCAGAGAUUUCCGAAUGGGGAAACCCAGCAUGAGUUAUGUCAUGUUAUCGAUAUGUGAAUACAUAGCAUAUCUGAAGGUAGACGCGGAGAACUGAAACAUCUUAGUACCCGCAGGAAGAGAAAGAAAAAUCGAUUCCCUGAGUAGCGGCGAGCGAAACGGGAAGAGCCCAAACCAACGAGCUUGCUUGUUGGGGUUGUAGGACACUCUAUACGGAGUUACAAAAGAAUAAACUAGACGAAUCAUCUGGAAAGAUGAAUCAAAGAAGGUAAUAAUCCUGUAGUCGAAAGUUUAUUCACUCUUGAGUGGAUCCUGAGUACGACGGAACACGAGAAAUUCCGUCGGAAUCCGGGAGGACCAUCUCCCAAGGCUAAAUACUCUCUAGUGACCGAUAGUGAACCAGUACCGUGAGGGAAAGGUGAAAAGUACCCCGGAAGGGGAGUGAAAUAGAACUUGAAACCGUGUGCUUACAAGUAGUCAGAGCCCGUUAAUGGGUGAUGGCGUGCCUUUUGUAGAAUGAACCGGCGAGUUACGAUUUGAUGCAAGGUUAAGCAGUGAAUGUGGAGCCGUAGCGAAAGCGAGUCUGAAUAGGGCGUUGAGUAUUUGGUCGUAGACCCGAAACCAGGUGAUCUACCCAUGACCAGGUUGAAGUUCAGGUAACACUGAAUGGAGGACCGAACCGACUUACGUUGAAAAGUGAGCGGAUGAGUUGUGGGUAGCGGAGAAAUUCCAAUCGAACCUGGAGAUAGCUGGUUCUCUCCGAAAUAGCUUUAGGGCUAGCCUCAAGUGAUGAUUAUUGGAGGUAGAGCACUGUUUGGACGAGGGGCCCUUAUCGGGUUACCGAAUUCAGACAAACUCCGAAUGCCAAUCAAUUUAACUUGGGAGUUAGAACGCGGGUGAUAAGGUCCGUGUUCGAAAGGGAAACAGCCCAGACCACCAGCUAAGGUCCCAAAAUAUAUGUUAAGUGGAAAAGGAUGUGGCGUUGCCCAGACAACUAGGAUGUUGGCUUAGAAGCAGCCAUCAUUUAAAGAGUGCGUAAUAGCUCACUAGUCGAGUGACACUGCGCCGAAAAUGUACCGGGGCUAAACAUAUUACCGAAGCUGUGGAUUGUCCGUAAGGACAAUGGUAGGAGAGCGUUCUAAGGGCGUUGAAGCAUGAUCGCAAGGACAUGUGGAGCGCUUAGAAGUGAGAAUGCCGGUGUGAGUAGCGAAAGACGGGUGAGAAUCCCGUCCACCGAUUGACUAAGGUUUCCAGAGGAAGGCUCGUCCGCUCUGGGUUAGUCGGGUCCUAAGCUGAGGCCGAUAGGCGUAGGCGAUGGAUAACAGGUUGAUAUUCCUGUACCACCAUAAUUCGUUUUAAGCGAUGGGGGGACGCAGUAGGAUAGGCGAAGCGUACUAUUGGAUUGUACGUCCAAGCAGU